GCGACUUAACUGAACCUUCGGGGAACGUUAAGGGCGGCGAGCGGCGGACGGGUGAGUAAUGCCUGGGAAUAUGCCCUGAUGUGGGGGAUAACUAUUGGAAACGAUAGCUAAUACCGCAUAAUCUCUUCGGAGCAAAGAGGGGGACCUUCGGGCCUCUCGCGUCAGGAUUAGCCCAGGUGGGAUUAGCUUGUUGGUGAGGUAAUGGCUCACCAAGGCAACGAUCCCUAGCUGGUCUGAGAGGAUGAUCAGCCACACUGGAACUGAGACACGGUCCAGACUCCUACGGGAGGCAGCAGUGGGGAAUAUUGCACAAUGGGGGAAACCCUGAUGCAGCCAUGCCGCGUGUAUGAAAAAGGCCUUCGGGUUGUAAAGUACUUUCAGUAGGGAGGAAGGCAGUGUCGUUAAUAGCGGCAUUGUUUGACGUUACCUACAGAAGAAGCACCGGCUAACUCCGUGCCAGCAGCCGCGGUAAUACGGAGGGUGCGAGCGUUAAUCGGAAUUACUGGGCGUAAAGCGCAUGCAGGCGGUCUGUUAAGCAAGAUGUGAAAGCCCGGGGCUCAACCUCGGAACAGCAUUUUGAACUGGCAGACUAGAGUCUUGUAGAGGGGGGUAGAAUUUCAGGUGUAGCGGUGAAAUGCGUAGAGAUCUGAAGGAAUACCGGUGGCGAAGGCGGCCCCCUGGACAAAGACUGACGCUCAGAUGCGAAAGCGUGGGGAGCAAACAGGA
rnacentral:rRNA from 1 species